rnacentral:lncRNA from 1 species
CCAGCUUCACUUUUCCACAUCUCGUCGCCUCUUCCAAAAAGGCUCCAUGGCCAAAAGGUGGCAGCUGCAGAAAGGCAGCGAGCAAAGAAAAUGCUACUUGCAAAGGUGACCAUGACUGCUGUCUCUUCUUGUGCUGCCGAAUCUAGUGUGUGUGUGCUGUUGCAUCUCUUUUGUGCGCGUGCAUGGCAUGGUUGGGUGAAAGUGAGGAGGAUGCUUGCAGCAAUAGCAAUGUAACUUUAACCCACUUUGCUGCAGGAACCCUAUUUUUUCUUUUGUUGGUGGGAAUGGAAUGGGGAUUCGACCCCCCCCCCCCCCCCCCCCCCCCCAAAGUUUUAUGCAUGUGGCAGUGUGUUUUUGCUGGGGGCUCGGGGCACCACGGAUGCGCAUAUACAAGUGUGAAAGUUGCGUGGCUGGGGUAUUUCGGAUCUUUGGAUCUUUCCGGGUCGUCUCCGGAAGAAUAAAAAUUCUUCAGUGGCUCACAAUUGGUAGUCCAGCUGGUGAAGUGUCGGGUCCGCCUUUGCGAUGUAGAUCCCGAUUGCUUUUUUGAAGAAUUUUAUGAAUUAUUGUUAGGUUGGUUGCUGUCCUAAUCAUAUCACUUUUCAGGGUUUUUGCAACUUAUUGUUAGGUUUAUUUUGUGGAAGCGGCUUAAUUAGCGAUAUAAAUCCUGUCUCUU